AUUUUAGUGAAUAUAUACUAUUAUCUCAGUGAAAACAUAAUUUCGCAGAUUAUGCUGAGGUAUACUGAAAUGGUCGGUAGUAUACGAAACAAGGAUACUUGUGGAAAUUACCGUUUUUUAUGCAGUGAUGUUUAAAAAGAAUCAAUAAAUCAAAGGUGUAGCACUAUUAUAAUCGCAGAUAAAAGCAACUAUCAUGUCGGUAACGCAAUAGACGCAUCAGAUGAUGAAGAAUCCAAGUUAGGGAAUUAGUUGGUUACUGAUUUCACACCUCGGAAAUACCAUAAGUUAUUUCGCUGUGAAGCAAGGAAACUUGUGUAUAAGAUGUGUAUAGGUUCUAAGUAGGCAAAGGCGAGAAGAAUUAAAGAAUUAAUAGUAAUGAAUUGUUGCUGAAAGGUGUAGGUAAUCAUUCCUAUCAAGGCUUGAAAUUAUUUGUGGCAGGAAUGUUAUAAGGUCGCUACUUAUAGCACAUACCUGUUUCCCUUGUGGCUGAAUAUAUCUGAAGAUUGUAUUUAGUAGAAUGAAGAUUCAAUAGUAUAUAUUCAAUAAA
rnacentral:ncRNA from 1 species